AAGGAUUUAGGUUAACUCUAAACCAAUAGCCUUCAAAGCUAUAAAUAAAGAAAAUCUUUAAGCCUUA
rnacentral:tRNA from 1 species